rnacentral:rRNA from 1 species
GCCAGACUCCUACGGGAGGCAGCAGUGGGGAAUAUUGCACAAUGGGGGAAACCCUGAUGCAGCGACGCCGCGUGAGCGAUGAAGUAUUUCGGUAUGUAAAGCUCUAUCAGCAGGGAAGAAAAUGACGGUACCUAAGGAAUAAGCCCCGGCUAACUACGUGCCAGCAGCCGCGGUAAUACGUAGGGGGCAAGCGUUGUUCGGAAUGACUGGGCGUAAAGGGUGUGUAGGCGGUGUAGCAAGUUAGAAGUGAAAUACCUAGAGCUUAACUCAGGUGCUGCUUCUAAAACUGCUAUACUUGAGUGCAGUAAAGGAAAGUGGAAUUCCUAGUGUAGCGGUGGAAUGCGUAGAUAUUAGGAGGAACACCAGUGGCGAAGGCGGCCUGCUGGACGACAACUGACGGUGAGGCGCGAAAGCAUGGGGAGCAAACAGGAUUAGAUACCCCUGUA